UCAAUGCAAUGCAGCUUCCAGUAGUGCAGUUAAGACGCAUAAGAAAUAAGGCGAUGUAUCCACUUCUCCUUUAAAAGGCAGUGGGCGCUCCUGCUCUAGCUUCCCACCCAAAAUCACUUCCUGGAGCGCUGCAGGAGGAGGGACAGGAGCACACGGCAGUGGCUUUCCCAGAAAUGGACACUGUGACAUCUGCUUUCUGUCACAGCCUCUGUAUUUCACAAAAGGAAGGUACAAGGAAAAGCUGUCAUCAAGAUUCUUGCCAGCAAACAGCAACAAACAUAGAUUCUCCGAUUCACUUAACAGCCAGCGCUGGAGGUUCUUAAAAAGUGGUCUGGAUGAUUUCAGAAGCAGCUUUCCUCCUCCAUCUGAUAACAUCAUCAUCCGAGGCAGAAAGGGGCUUUCCCCCAUUAUUUUACAGAGCAGAUCCCACCUGACUCAACAAAAGGUACGGAAAAUAUCUGUUAAACCCACAUGCAAGCUCAAGUCAGAGGUGGAAGCCAGGAAGGAGUUCACAAAGGAUACUAAUCAUCACUUAAGCCACUGCCCUCAGUUACUGCACUCUCAUUUGAAAGACCGCAUCUUUCCAAAGGAACAGCCAUAAGAAACUGUCAACUUUCUGGGACGCCUUGCUGCCAUGCUGAUUAGUCACACGAUUUAGUUACUAAACCACUCCUGUAGGACACUGGAGAGAAGAGGCUUUACCUUCCAGCCUUGGAAACCUCUCUGAAUAACCAAGUACGCCGGGAAUAAUAAAGAAUCUCUGAUAAAAAAAAUAAUAAAAGGUGAUCACAUACUUUUUUUUCCCCCUAUAAUAUGAAGCAUGUACUGUCUAAAAAGUUCAGAUUAAAGUCUGCAACUCUCAGUCAAAAUUCAGGGCUCAAAUCCCACUGGAGCAGAUGAAAACCCUGGCCUCUGACACAAAUUCUUUGAUUUCACUCUCUUUGUACACAGAGAAUGCCAAAGUGCAGAGCAAAUCACAAACCAGUUUAUUGUGUAAUGCUGCCAGGUGCAUCUAUUUACUUCAGUAUUCGCUGGCUUGAAGGGAGGGGACAGAGAGACUUCUUAUGUGUAUAUGCUUCAUUUUGGAUUCAACCUGACUGAGUACAGUUCGAGUAGUCCAUACUCAAUUCUAAGUGAACUGUAAUCUACAGAGUGCACACUUAAAAUCAGCAAGCCACUGGCACAUGUUUUCCUGACCUGUGAGUCAUGUUCCACAGGACUGCCACUUUGACCUUACAAAGCUUACACUGGGAUACAAAAGGACACACUCUGAGGAAGCAGAUUUGAAAUAAAUUGUAGCUAUAUUCAUGGUUAUAGUUUCACCUUAUUCUUCUUUUGAAGUCAAAGAUAAACUUUCUAUAUAUUUCUAU